GGCUACGGCCAUAUCACGAUUCAUGCACCUCAUCCCGUCCGAUUUGAGAAGUUAAGCAUCGUCGAGCCACAUCAGUACUGAGGUUGGAGACAACUUGGGAACCUGUGGUGCUGUAGUCU
rfam:Naegleria gruberi genomic scaffold NAEGRscaffold_108, whole genome shotgun sequence.